rnacentral:lncRNA from 1 species
GUCACCAUUGGGGACACUUGGGGUGGCAUUGGGAACACACUGGGGUCACACUGGGGUCACACUGGGGUCACAACAGGGUCACCACUGGGGUCAUGUUGGGGACACUUGGGGUCACACUGGGGUCACCCUUAGGGUCAUGUUGGGGACACAUUGGAGUCACACUGGGGUCACAACAGGGUCACACUGGGGACACUUGGGGUCACACUGGCGUCACGUUGGGGACACACUGGGGUCACACUGGGGUCACAUAGGGGACACUUGGGGUCACACAGGGGGUCACACUGGGGUCACCCUUGCGGUCAUGCUGGGGACACACUGGGGUCACAUGGGGGUCAUAUAGGGGACACUUGGGGUCACACGGGGGUCACACUGGGGUCACCCUUGGGGUCACGUUGGGGACACACUGGGGUCACAUAGGGCACACUUGGGGACACACAGGGGUCACACGGGGGUCACACUGGGUCACCCUUGGGGUCACGUUGGGGACACUUGGGGUCACACGGGGGUCACACGGGGGUCACUCUGGGGUCACCCUUAGGGUCAUGUUGGGGACACACGGGGGUCACACUGGGGUCACCCUUGGGGUCACAUAGGGCACACUUGGGGUCACACAGGGGUCACACGGGGGUCACUCUGGGGUCACCCACCUCGAAGACGGCCACAGCCACGGGGUGGGGCAGCACUUUGGGGUCCGCCAGCAGCGUCCGGCGCUGCCCCCCCCCCACAGAAACACUGCUGAGGGUGUGCAGCUGCCAGUCUGCCCAAUAGAGCCGCUGCGAUGGCAGGUCUGGGGGGGGGACAGGGGGGGCGUCAGUGGGGCGGCAAUGGGGGUGGCAAUGGGGGCGGAAAUGGGGA